GUGAACUUACAGGAACAAAUACCACUAUCAACGUUUGGAUCGAUAUCUGCAUCGAUCUGCACCCUUGUCUCCUGGAUUGUAGCUGAGAUCAGCGUGAACCACGUGGGUCUCUGCUCCCUGAUCUGUUUGGAAAGACUUCCAGCUUCAUCACGGAGUUUCUCUCGGUUUGUGGGCUCAUCUAAAGCUGAGUAACAGGAGGAGAAGAGUCUGGUGGUGCAGCAGAGGAACAAUUUCAGCCAUUUGGACUCAGCUGAGCCACUACAGAGGAAACAAUGACUUCAACACAAAAGGACCAACAUGGAGCGAGAAGUCAGUGCUCUCAGGAGGCCGACAAACCUCACAGAAGAAAGGGAGAGAAAACCUACAGCUGUGAUGAGUGUGGGAAGGAUUUUA